GGGGCCCGCACAAGCGGUGGAGCAUGUGGUUUAAUUCGAUGCAACGCGAAGAACCUUACCUGGCCUUGACAUCCACGGAAUUCGGCAGAGAUGCCUUAGUGCCUUCGGGAACCGUGAGACAGGUGCUGCAUGGCUGUCGUCAGCUCGUGUUGUGAAAUGUUGGGUUAAGUCCCGCAACGAGCGCAACCCUUAUCCUUUGUUGCCAGCGAGUAAUGUCGGGAACUCAAAGGAGACUGCCGGUGACAAACCGGAGGAAGGUGGGGAUGACGUCAAGUCAUCAUGGCCCUUACGGCCAGGGCUACACACGUGCUACAAUGGCGCAUACAAAGAGAAGCGAACUCGCGAGAGCAAGCGGACCUCACAAAGUGCGUCGUAGUCCGGAUCGGAGUCUGCAACUCGACUCCGUGAAGUCGGAAUCGCUAGUAAUCGUAGAUCAGAAUGCUACGGUGAAUACGUUCCCGGGCCUUGUACACACCGCCCGUCACACCAUGGGAGUGGGUUGCAAAAGAAGUAGGUAGCUUAACCUUCGGGAGGGCGCUUACCACUUUGUGAUUCAUGACUGGGGUGAAGUCGUAACAAGGUA
rnacentral:rRNA from 1 species